rnacentral:rRNA from 1 species
UACGGAGGGUGCAAGCGUUAUCCGGAUUUACUGGGUUUAAAGGGUGUGUAGGCGGGCUUUUAAGUCAGUGGUGAAAUCUCCGGGCUCAACCUGGAAACUGCCAUUGAUACUAUUAGUCUUGAAUUUUGUUGAGGUAGGCGGAAUAAGUCAUGUAGCGGUGAAAUGCAUAGAUAUGACUUAGAACACCAAUUGCGAAGGCAGCUUGCUAAACAAAUAUUGACGCUGAGGCACGAAAGCGUGGGGAUCAAAC